GACGAACGCUGGCGGCGUGCUUAACACAUGCAAGUCGAACGGAAAGGCCCUGCUUUUGUGGGGUGCUCGAGUGGCGAACGGGUGAGUAACACGUGAGUAACCUGCCCUUGACUUUGGGAUAACUUCAGGAAACUGGGGCUAAUACCGGAUAGGAGCUCCUGCUGCAUGGUGGGGGUUGGAAAGUUUCGGCGGUUGGGGAUGGACUCGCGGCUGAUCAGCUUGUUGGUGGGGUAGUGGCUUACCAAGGCUUUGACGGGUAGCCGGCCUGAGAGGGUGACCGGCCACAUUGCGACUGCGAUACGGCCCAGACUCCUACGGGAGGCAGCAGUGGGGAAUAUUGCACAAUGGGCGGAAGCCUGAUGCAGCAACGCCGCGUGCGGGAUGACGGCCUUCGGGUUGUAAACCGCUUUCGCCUGUGACGAAGCGUGAGUGACGGUAAUGGGUAAAGAAGCACCGGCUAACUACGUG
rnacentral:rRNA from 1 species